rnacentral:rRNA from 1 species
GGUUCGAAGGCGAUCAGAUACCGCCCUAGUUCUAACCAUAAACGAUGCCAGCCAGCGAUCCGCCGAUGUUCCUCCGAUGACUCGGCGGGGAGCUUUCCCCGGGAAACCAAAGCUUUUGGGUUCCGGGGGAAGUAUGGUUGCAAAGCUGAAACUUAAAGGAAUUGACGGAAGGGCACCACCAGGAGUGGAGCCUGCGGCUUAAUUUGACUCAACACGGGAAACCUCACCAGGCCCGGACAUUGGAAGGAUUGACAGAUCGAUAGCUCUUUCUCGAUUCAGUGGGUAGUGGUGCAUGGCCGUUCUUAGUUCGUGGACUGAUUUGUCUGGUUAAUUCCGAUAACGGACGAGACUCUAAC